AUCAGUGAAAACCACGUGAUCAUCCACGACAGCGGUCCAGAGUCGCUGAGAUAACCGGAACUGCUGAGGCCGGAGAAUUCGAGAUAACACGGUGUGCAGCUGGAUGAACACAGCAGGUCAAGCUGUACCAGAGGAGCAGGAAAGCUAACGUUUCGGGCUUGGAUCUUUCGUUGAGACCAAGAUUUGUGCAACUGAGAUACCAGCGAUCGUUGCCGAAGCCCUGUUGCCUGUUGAGAAGUUUAACCUUCGUGUCCUGCUGCAGUUUGUAUGAUGAAGGUGCUCCCACAAUACGGUCAUUUGAGAAGUUACAGAUCAUUCAUCUAGCAAUACUGAAGAGCUAACGGUGAUAUUACAAGUGGACUUUCAGGUGGGAGUCUCAAUAGUUGUAGCACCAAACUCUGACAGAAUUACUCGAUUCAUCAGGACCUGGAUAUUCACAUUAUAUUUCCGCAAUUUUACUUCUGCACUGUUCUUAGUCUUUCGAUCCCUCUGAAAGACUGAGUUACAGAUCUAUACACUGCCUGUCCAUCCUCCCUGGAUCUCCCACCUUCUUUCAGUUUUGUGCAAACACUGACUGGAUCCCUUACCUGGAGGAUAUUUAUUUAUGAAUUUGUUCUAAUGAUAAUCCAUCAUAUUCCCCAAGUAUCGCUCCACAAAUGUCCAGAGGAUUUCUGUUUCACAAUCUGCGUGUGUUCUUCUGGUUUCUCACUCACUGCACUUGUUUUCUGUCUGAAAGCUUAGUCUACAGUUGGAGAAUUCAAACAGGAACACAUCCAGAUCUGACAGUCACUUUGUUUAUCACAACUCAAUUACCUCAGGAUUUUGAACACUGAAGGAAAAAGCAGCACUCGCAGUGGGGAGAAAUGCAUAUGGUCUGUGAGGAUUCAUCUGAAAUGUCCUUACACCAGCUCAGUGACACUGGGGAGAGACCAUUCACCUUCUCUAAAUGUGGGAAAGCAUUCACUCAGUCACCCAAACUGUUAACACCCCAGUGAGUUCACAAAGAAGCACAGUUGAAGGGUUUUGCUGUCACACUCAAUAUCAAAUGAACUAUGGUUUUGGGCUGUUUGUACUGAUGUUACUGAUCCCUGCUCAAUUAAAGGUACUGGUAUUGUGGAUAAAAUGUUAAUAUCAGUUGUGUAUCUGUCAGGUAGAGCUUGGAAAUAGUCAUGUUGUCAUGACACAUCGAUACAUUCACACUGACGAAAGACUAUCCACCCGCACGGUAUGUGAAAAGGGAUUUCCUGGUUCAUCAGGACUGGUUAACUAGCAGCAAAUUUCUGAA